rnacentral:sRNA from 1 species
GAUGUCAGGGUCAAAAAGUUAUACAAUGCAUGCUUGCAUGCGAUUGGAUGACUUUGGGACCCGUAAAACAUGAGAAAGUAGCCCGAUUAGGGCGGAUUUCGAAUGUUUUUAGGAUUUCGGGAGCACGAAGUGCGGAGAAAUCCGUAGACAUC